GCCGCGGCUGCGCCCGGUACUCAGGUGAGUUUGACGUGCCACGGGAACCGCACCGACCCGCUCCUGGGGCCACGCCGUGCCACAGGACCCUGGCCCCUGGGCUCGCGUUUACAAGCGCUAAAGCAACAACUUGGUCACGGAGUUAAUUCAAAUCCUUAAGGCUACCACAAGCUUCCUUUGCGAAACUUUCACUUCCUCUCUGCUUCGUGUGUCUUCUGUAGGUCCCUUCUUACAGCAUAACCCAUCUCUUCCCAGAUAGAUACCCAGGAAGACCCCAUCACCUGUGACCAGACACAAAUGCGAUUUUCAAAGCCGACUGGAUCAUUUGUUUCUCCAGUACAGUGAAGUUUCUGAAACCUGGAAAUCUUACACCCCUCGCACCAAAUCUGUGUUUUCAUCUUCCUGUUCCCUCACGGGCCUCACAAAGUGUGCUUCUGGCUUUUUCUGUCGAGUAAGCACAUAAGGCAAUGAAGUCCCUAGUAGCUUUGCAGCUCAUGAUGUGUAACAGUGAGCUGCUCAGAGAAGCAUUACUUAAAGCUCUCCCUGUUUAUAAGCUGGAUGGGGGGGAAAUGAGUACAAAAAUAAAGGUUGCAACAGAAAAUGCCCACAAAAUUAAAUCACCAUACCCUAUUCAGUUACAGGGAUUCAGCAUUUCUUUGCCUUGCAAGAAGCAGCGCCCAUGGCUACAGCAGAGUUAGAAUGGUAUUCAGCCACUUUUGUCACAAAGACCAUUUCAAUACCUUAGCUAGAUAAUAUCUUCUAUUCUACAAUUAACCAGCACAAAAAAAAAAACCCCAACAACAUACAAAA